AUGCGAUAAGUAAUGUGAAUUGCAGAAUUCAGUGAAUCAUCGAAUCUUUGAACGCACAUUGCGCCCGCCAGCACUCUGGCGGGCAUGCCUGUUCGAGCGUCAUUUCAACCCUCAGAACCCCCUUGGGGGAUCUGGCGUUGGGGAUUGGCAGCCAGCCAGCCCCGAAAUCUAGUGGCGGUCCCUCCGCGACCUCCCCUGUGCAGUAGCGAUACCUCGCAGCGGGACAGCGGUCUGACCACGCCGUAAAACCCCCUACUUCUCAAGGUUGACCUCGGAUCAGGUAGGAAUACCCGCUGAACUUAA
rnacentral:misc_RNA from 1 species